UCCGGUUUGGCACCGGCAGUCUCUCUAGAGUCCCCGCCAUGACGCGCUGGUAACUAGAGACGAGGGUUGCGCUCGUUGCGGGACUUAACCCAACAUCUCACGACACGAGCUGACGACAGCCAUGCAGCACCUGUGACGGCGUCCCGAAGGAGGGCCCCCCUUUCAGGGGGCUUUCACCGCCAUGUCAAGCCCAGGUAAGGUUCUUCGCGUUGCGUCGAAUUAAACCACAUGCUCCACCGCUUGUGCGGGCCCCCGUCAAUUCCUUUGAGUUUCAGCCUUGCGGCCGUACUCCCCAGGCGGGGCACUUAAUGCGUUAGCGCCGGCACCCGGGGGGUCGCUCCCCCAAGCACCUAGUGCCCAUCGUUUACGGCGUGGACUAC
rnacentral:misc_RNA from 1 species